GUGUGUAAUAACUUUCGGGGCCAGAAAAAUUUCCCGACAAUUGUUAAAAAAUGUAUAUUUUGUAGUAUAGAGAGAAUAUAAUUAAAUAAAUCAACAUAUUAGAGUUUUUAUUACAGAUUCAACAUCACACUACCCAGUUCUCCUCGACAACAGCUACUGUCACAAACCUUCAAAGAAGAGCUUCAAAGGACCUUCAAAGAAGAGCUGUCACUUUAUUCCGAAGAGUUUUGAAGAAUGUUCCACCCAUUAUAUAUCCAAGAGACAUUCUUCGUGAAAGACCGCUGAAGAAAGAUUCGUUUUUGCGAUUCAGUAAACCACGUCAUUCAACUUAGGAGUAUUCCGAAGAGGCGUGGUAAAAAAGGCGCUCUUUCUAAAAGCUAUUAUAUAUGCUUAAUUGCAUCUCAUUUUAUGAAAAAAAAUAAAAUGCUUUUUAUUUUA